rnacentral:tRNA from 1 species
AGCGAUAUAGCUUAAUUGGUAAAGCACUGGUCUCAUAAGCCAGAAGUUGAAAGUUCGAUUCUUUCUAUCACUA